rnacentral:rRNA from 1 species
UUAAGCGACUAAGCGUACACGGUGGAUGCCCUGGCAGUCAGAGGCGAUGAAGGACGUGCUAAUCUGCGAAAAGCGUCGGUAAGGUGAUAUGAACCGUUAUAACCGGCGAUGUCCGAAUGGGGAAACCCAGUGCAAUUCGUUGCACUAUCGUUAACUGAAUACAUAGGUUAACGAGGCGAACCGGGGGAACUGAAACAUCUAAGUACCCCGAGGAAAAGAAAUCAACCGAGAUUCCCCCAGUAGCGGCGAGCGAACGGGGAGCAGCCCAGAGUCUGAAUCAGCUUGUGUGUUAGUGGAACGGUCUGGAAAGUCCGACGGUACAGGGUGAUAGUCCCGUACACCAAAAUGCACAGGCUGUGAACUCGAAGAGUAGGGCGGGACACGUGGUAUCCUGUCUGAAUAUGGGGGGACCAUCCUCCAAGGCUAAAUACUCCUGACUGACCGAUAGUGAACCAGUACCGUGAGGGAAAGGCGAAAAGAACCCCGGCGAGGGGAGUGAAAAAGAACCUGAAACCGUGUACGUACAAGCAGUGGGAGCACCUUCGGGUGUGACUGCGUACCUUUUGUAUAAUGGGUCAGCGACUUAUAUUCUGUAGCAAGGUUAACCGUAUAGGGGAGCCGCAGGGAAACCGAGUCUUAACUGGGCGUUAAGUUGCAGGGUAUAGACCCGAAACCCGGUGAUCUAGCCAUGGGCAGGUUGAAGGUUGGGUAACACUAACUGGAGGACCGAACCGACUAAUGUUGAAAAAUUAGCGGAUGACUUGUGGCUGGGGGUGAAAGGCCAAUCAAACCGGGAGAUAGCUGGUUCUCCCCGAAAGCUAUUUAGGUAGCGCCUCGUGAACUCAUCUUCGGGGGUAGAGCACUGUUUCGGCUAGGGGGUCAUCCCGACUUACCAACCCGAUGCAAACUACGAAUACCGAAGAAUGUUAUCACGGGAGACACACGGCGGGUGCUAACGUCCGUCGUGAAGAGGGAAACAACCCAGACCGCCAGCUAAGGUCCCAAAGUCAUGGUUAAGUGGGAAACGAUGUGGGAAGGCACAGACAGCCAGGAUGUUGGCUUAGAAGCAGCCAUCAUUUAAAGAAAGCGUAAUAGCUCACUGGUCGAGUCGGCCUGCGCGGAAGAUGUAACGGGGCUAAACCAUGCACCGAAGCUGCGGCAGCGACACUAUGUGUUGUUGGGUAGGGGAGCGUUCUGUAAGCCUGCGAAGGUGUGCUGUGAGGCAUGCUGGAGGUAUCAGAAGUGCGAAUGCUGACAUAAGUAACGAUAAAGCGGGUGAAAAGCCCGCUCGCCGGAAGACCAAGGGUUCCUGUCCAACGUUAAUCGGGGCAGGGUGAGUCGACCCCUAAGGCGAGGCCGAAAGGCGUAGUCGAUGGGAAACAGGUUAAUAUUCCUGUACUUGGUGUUACUGCGAAGGGGGGACGGAGAAGGCUAUGUUAGCCGGGCGACGGUUGUCCCGGUUUAAGCAUGUAGGCUGGUUGUCCAGGCAAAUCCGGAUAAUCAAGGCUGAGGUGUGAUGACGAGGUACUACGGUGCUGAAGUAACAAAUGCCCUGCUUCCAGGAAAAGCCUCUAAGCAUCAGGUAACAUCAAAUCGUACCCCAAACCGACACAGGUGGUCAGGUAGAGAAUACCAAGGCGCUUGAGAGAACUCGGGUGAAGGAACUAGGCAAAAUGGUGCCGUAACUUCGGGAGAAGGCACGCUGGUGUGUAGGUGAAGUCCCUGCGGAUGGAGCUGAGACCAGUCGAAGAUACCAGCUGGCUGCAACUGUUUAUUAAAAACACAGCACUGUGCAAACACGAAAGUGGACGUAUACGGUGUGACGCCUGCCCGGUGCCGGAAGGUUAAUUGAUGGGGUUAUCCGUAAGGAGAAGCUCUUGAUCGAAGCCCCGGUAAACGGCGGCCGUAACUAUAACGGUCCUAAGGUAGCGAAAUUCCUUGUCGGGUAAGUUCCGACCUGCACGAAUGGCGUAAUGAUGGCCAGGCUGUCUCCACCCGAGACUCAGUGAAAUUGAACUCGCUGUGAAGAUGCAGUGUACCCGCGGCAAGACGGAAAGACCCCGUGAACCUUUACUAUAGCUUGACACUGAACAUUGAGCCUUGAUGUGUAGGAUAGGUGGGAGGCUUUGAAGCGUGGACGCCAGUCUGCGUGGAGCCAACCUUGAAAUACCACCCUUUAAUGUUUGAUGUUCUAACGUUGGCCCCUUACCGGGGUUGCGGACAGUGUCUGGUGGGUAGUUUGACUGGGGCGGUCUCCUCCCAAAGCGUAACGGAGGAGCACGAAGGUUAGCUAAUCCUGGUCGGACAUCAGGAGGUUAGUGCAAUGGCAUAAGCUAGCUUGACUGCGAGCGUGACGGCGCGAGCAGGUGCGAAAGCAGGUCAUAGUGAUCCGGUGGUUCUGAAUGGAAGGGCCAUCGCUCAACGGAUAAAAGGUACUCCGGGGAUAACAGGCUGAUACCGCCCAAGAGUUCAUAUCGACGGCGGUGUUUGGCACCUCGAUGUCGGCUCAUCACAUCCUGGGGCUGAAGUAGGUCCCAAGGGUAUGGCUGUUCGCCAUUUAAAGUGGUACGCGAGCUGGGUUUAGAACGUCGUGAGACAGUUCGGUCCCUAUCUGCCGUGGGCGCUGGAGAAUUGAGGGGGGCUGCUCCUAGUACGAGAGGACCGGAGUGGACGCAUCACUGGUGUUCGGGUUGUCAUGCCAAUGGCACUGCCCGGUAGCUAAAUGCGGAAGAGAUAAGUGCUGAAAGCAUCUAAGCACGAAACUUGCCCCGAGAUGAGUUCUCCCUGAGACUUUAAGUCUCCUGAAGGAACGUUGAAGACGACGACGUUGAUAGGCCGGGUGUGUAAGCGCAGCGAUGCGUUGAGCUAACCGGUACUAAUGAACCGUGAGGCUUAACCU